UUUUAUAUUUUUUAUUUUUUUUAUUAUAUAUAUAAAUAACAAAGACAUAAGAGUCUUUUGUCACUUAAUAAAUAAGUUAUUUUCGAAAAUGUCUCAUUAGUGGUGGUAAAAAUGAAAAGUGAUACCAUAAAAGUGGUAAACAUGUAAUUUCCCAACCAUAUUUUUUUUGUUGUAACAAAAUUUUAAACGAAAGUGAUGAUGGUUCAUAUUGAUUUUGGGUAUGCAACAAUUUUUAAACUAAAACACAUUCUACUAUGUGGUCUAUUGUUAAUCAUUAAAAAUUGUUCUAGGUCCAUUUAAGGAAAACCAUGGGAUGAACUAAAAAACGUUACAACUUCGGAUUGGUAAAAUAUAAUUUAAGAUUGGUAAAAUAUAAGCUAGCAAAUUAUAAUUGUUUUAGGAAAUGCAAAGUGAGGAAGGUUAGAUUUCGUAAAGCAUUAAUGAUAAAUUAUUUUUAGUUCAUUAUUGUAGCAUAAUACUUAAAAGCUAGAUGUAUUAAUUACUUUUGAGGCAGUCACUUGUAAAUAAUUUGUAAGUCUUUGGGUUAGUUAAAAAAAAUUCUUAGGGUUAGUUUUUAUUUUUACUUAUAUUUUAACAGAUUAGAUAGAUUGAUCGUAUAGUUUUAACUUUUAAGUGAGUGAAAAUAUUGACAAGAAAAAAAAAAGAAUUUACAAAGAAUUUUUUUGAUAAUAAAAUCUAGUAUUUUUCUCUAAUUCACCAAAGUCAUAAAGUCAUGUAAAUUCAUUAAUAUUUAAAUCUUUUCAGAUCCUAAAUUGAAUACACUUCUUAUAAAAUAGAAACUGAGGGAAUAAUAAUCUCAGUCAGAGUCUUAUUAUGAAACAGCCAAAAUAGGUAAACAAUUUAUUAUAUGAUAAAUUUCGUUGAACAAAUUUGCGUUCAAAGUUUUUCAUAUGUAAAAAUUAGAUACGGAAUUUUUUUUUUGGUAACAAAAGAUACGGAAGUUUGUAUAUAUAGCACUUACAUGACCAUACAAUGAUCAGUUCAUAAUAUGCAGCAACAUAAAAUAUAAGCCAAGAAGUUUUAUAGUCAGUUCAUACUCAUCGACAUCAAGAUAACAAGUUCGUGCAACCUAUAAAAACAUAACUAAUGGCAACCAAGAAAUUUGCAUCUCUUUUGCUACCUUUGUUGAUGGUCAUGCUUACUCUCACAUUUAUCUCUAUGGUUUCAGGUGAGAAAGACUGUGAAGCACAUGAUUAUGGCAGUUGUCCUAAGGACAAGGAUUGCACUGCCCAUUGUGAAUCUCUCGGAUUCAAAUUGGGGGGAGUUUGUGUACCAAGGGAAAGGAAAAAUCCUUUCUGUUGCUGCAGGACAAAUUUUAUAAGUCGCCAUAUGUCCACUAAUUAAUCUUGAAUUUAAUUCAAUAUGAAAUUAUGUACUCUCUCUCAUCUAUAUGAAUAAAAAAUAAAAUUCAAACAUGAUAUAUUCUGCAUUAUUCUGGUUUGAUGAUGUAUUCUGAUUUUUUUUUAACGUCUUUAACUUUAUUAAUAUCAAAUCAAUGUAACAUAUUUACAUGAAUCAUAAAUUACAUAAAACAUGUUAAUAAGAACUUAUAAUAGAGAUAGCAUUAACACGAUGCUUUCUAGCGCAUUCGUAAGACAGGCUGGCUCGUUAGCUUUUCUCCACUUUGUUCUUGGUCUUGUAAGAUCUUGCUUGUGGCUUUCAAUUCUUGUGAGUAAAUGCAUUUUUCUCUAAGAAGAUCAUUGGAUACGAUCCAUCUGUUACAUCGCAAUCCAUCCCAAAUACUCCCGCUGCAGGAGAUAACAUGCUUUGUUGUAACUAUAAAUAAUAAGUGAAUAUAUAAUAUAAGAAAUAUAAAUAUUACAUUAAACAAUAAUAAGUAAAUAUAAAAUAUAAUGAAAAAUAAAUAAUAAGUAAAUAUACAAUAUAAGAAAUACAAAUAUUACAUUAAACAAUAAUAAGUAAAUAUACAAUAUAAGGAAAAAUAAAUAAUAUGUAAAUAUAUGAUAUAAGAAAUAGAAAUAUUACAUUAAACAUCAAUCGUAAUGUUAAAAUAAAUAAAUAUACAAUAUGAACAAAUAAAUAAUAAGUAAAUAUACUAUAUAAGAAAUAAAACUAUUUACAUUAAACAUAUAUCAUAAUAUUACCAUUUGAUAUAAAGCAAGAAAUUUCGAAUAAGUAAAUAUACAUAAUAAAAAAAAUAAACAAUAAGUAAAUAUACAAUAUAAUGAAUGAAAAAGUAAAUUAAACAUCUAUCUAAAAAAAUAUAUAGUAAAAUAAAUAAUAAGUAAAUAUACAAUAAAAAAAUAUAUAAAUGUUACAUCAAACAUCUAUCUGAAAAAUGUAAAGUUUUUUCUCGUUUUCUCUAAGGAUAUAUAUGUAAAUAUACAAUAUGUGUAAUUAGAUACGUCUUCUUGAUAUAUGUUAAUUCUUGUGCUAUUAUUUUUUAUUUCCAGAAAAAAAUGGUUAAGCACCAUUAUCACUUAGGUUAAGUACACAAACAACAACAAAAUUCAUAUAUCACAAAAAUGAUCAUAUUAACAUUACAGUACAAUAAUUUUAACUUAAAAAUAUAAAAACUUUCAAUUAUGCAAAACAUAAAUAGAAAGCACUCAUGUAUUCACACAAACAUACAAUUCAGAAUACAACGUCCAAAAUAAUAGUUGUACAGUUAAUAUUUGAAAAAUCAAAAUAGCUCAGUGUGUAACCCGGAUUAACCCCUAGUUUAUAUAAUAUGUGAGUUUAGUGUUUAAUGAUUAAAUUUUAGUAUUUAAGAUAUUGAAGUUAAUCGCCUCUUCUUCGUAUCUGAUGUUUUGAUUCUAUGAGUGAACUAUUUCACUUACAUUCACCAUCCAGUUUUAAAUGGUUUUACAUUUUUUAAGAAGAGUCGAUUUUUUUGCUCAAAAUUUAUGUGUUCGGUAAAUAUUCUUAGAUUAAGAUGAUGGAUAGUGUUAUAUAUAUAUAUGUGUGUAUAUAUAUGUGUUUCACGCGUAUGUAGCUGCAAACGUAGAUAUCAACCGAAUAUUUGGAAUAGCAAGAUUUAGUAGUUUACCAAAAAGGAUUUUCGAAUUGAAUUAAAGAUUAUAUAUAUAUAUAUAUAUAUAUAUAUAUAUUUCAUUUAUGAGGCAGUUUCAGAAAUAAAAUUAUUCAGAUUUUUCAUUUCCAUUAUCGAUAUCAAAUAAUUAAUAUAUAUAUAUAUAUAUAUAUAUAUAUAUAUAUAUAUAUAUAUAUAUAUAUAUAUAUAUAUAUAUAUAUAUCAUAUAUAGUUUGUAAAGAAUACAUAAUUUAAUUGAAAGAUUGUUAUCUUUUUCGUUUAUAUGGCAGUAUUAGAAAAUUAAUAUUCAGAAUAUUCGUUUCUUAUACUCGAUUUUUUAGAACUAAAUGUAUAAUAGAUGAUAAUCCACGCUUUGCGCAGAGUGAGUUUUUAAAAUAUGUCGUAUUUAAAUAUUAUAAACAAUACACAUUUUGUUAUCAAUAAACCUUUUUAAAAUUGAUUAGGAAUGAAUAUUCAGGUACCAUUUGGUUCGGUCUGAAUCUUUGUGGGUUCGGUUCAGAUCUUUGCAGGUUCGGUUUGGAUUUGAGUUCAGAUAACCCAUUUAAUUUUUUAAAGAAAUUAAAGUUCAUAUAUACUUUAAAUUUGGAUAAUAUAUACCCAAAUACUUACACUUAAUAUAAAAUUUUGUUCAGAUUAAAUAUUUAGAUAGGAAAUCAAUAGAUAUUUUAAAUAUUUUUGGCAUUUUGAGUAUUGUUUAGCUAUUUUAAACAUAUACUUUUAACUAUUUUUAUAUAUUUCCAAGUAUUUUAGACAACUUAAGAGCAUCUUAUAUAUUUUGUAUAUUCUUUUAGAUAUUAAAUUAAAAAAAUUAAUAUAUAUAAGUAUAUAAAUCUGGUUCGAAUAUAUUCAGAUACCCUAAAUAUUUUGGUUCAUUCGGUUUCGGUUCUCUAGAUACCAAAAUUUUGAACAUGUUCGGGUAUCUAACCAAUUUCGGUUAAAGUUCGGUACUACUUUUUUGGACUGGAUUUGGUUCGGUUUUUUGGAUUCAAAUUUUUUGCCCAACCAUAUAUUUUUUUAUUGUAACAAAAUUUUAAACGAAAGUGAUGAUGGUUCAUAUUGAUUUUGGGUAUGCAACAAUUUUUAAACUAAAACACAUUCUACUAUGUGGUCUAUUGUUAAUCAUUAAAAAUUGUUCUAGGUCCAUUUAAGGAAAACCAUGGGAAGAACUAAAAAACGUUACAAUUUCGGAUUGGUAAAAUAUAAUUUAAGAUUGGUAAAAUAUAAGCUAGCAAAUUAUAAUUGUUUUAGGAAAUGAAAAUUGAGGAAGGUUAGAUUUCGUAAAGCAUUAAUGAUAAAUUAUUUUUAGUUCAUUAUUGUAGCAUAAUACUUAAAAGCUAGAUAUAUUAAUUACUUUUGAGGCAGUCACUUGUAAAUAAUUUGUAAGUCUUAGGGUUAGUUAAAAAAAAUUCUUAGGGUUAAUUUGUAUUUUUACUUAUAUUUUAACAGAUUAGAUAGAUUGAUCGUAUAGUGUUAACUUUUAAGUGAGUGAAAAUAUUGACAAGAAAAAAAAAAGAAUUUACAAAGAAUUUUUUUGAUAAUAAAAUCUAGUAUUUUUCCCUAAUUCACCAAAGUCAUAAAGUCAUGUAAAUUCAUUAAUAUUUAAAUCUUUUCAGAUCCUAAAUUGAAUACACUUCUUAUAAAAUAGAAACUGAGGGAAUAAUAAUCUCAGUCAGAGUCUUAUUAUGAAACAGCCAAAAUAGGUAAACAAUUUAUUAUAUGAUAAAUUUCGUUGAACAAAUUUGCGUUCAAAGUUUUUCAUAUGUAAAAAUUAGAUACGGAAUUUUUUUUUUGGUAACAAAAGAUACGGAAUUUUGUAUAUAUAGCACUUACAUGACCAUACAAUGAUCAGUUCAUAAUAAGCAGCAACAUAAAAUAUAAAAGCCAAGAAGUUUUAUAGUCAGUGCAUACUCAUCAAGACAUCAAGAUAACAAGUAGGUGCAACCUAUAAAAACAUAACUAAUGGCAACCAAGAAAUUUGCAUCUCUUUUGCUACCUUUGUUGAUGGCCAUGCUUACUCUCACAUUUAUCUCUACGGUUUCAGGUGAAAAAGACUGUGAAGCACAUGAUUAUGGCAGUUGUCCUAAGGACAAGGAUUGCACUGCCCAUUGUGAAUCUCUCGGAUUCAAAUUGGGGGGAGUUUGUGUACCAAGGGAAAGGAAAAAUCCUUUCUGUUGCUGCAGGAUAAAUUUUAUAAGUCGCCAUAUGUCCACUAAUUAAUCUUGAAUUUAAUUCAAUAUGAAAUUAUGUACUCUCUCUCAACUAUAUGAAUAAAAAAUAAAAUUCAAACA